GACGCUGGCGGCGUGCCUAAUACAUGCAAGUCGAACGCUUCUUUUUCCACCGGAGCUUGCUCCACCGGAAAAAGAGGAGUGGCGAACGGGUGAGUAACACGUGGGUAACCUGCCCAUCAGAAGGGGAUAACACUUGGAAACAGGUGCUAAUACCGUAUAACAAUCGAAACCGCAUGGUUUUGAUUUGAAAGGCGCUUUCGGGUGUCGCUGAUGGAUGGACCCGCGGUGCAUUAGCUAGUUGGUGAGGUAACGGCUCACCAAGGCGACGAUGCAUAGCCGACCUGAGAGGGUGAUCGGCCACAUUGGGACUGAGACACGGCCCAAACUCCUACGGGAGGCAGCAGUAGGGAAUCUUCGGCAAUGGACGAAAGUCUGACCGAGCAACGCCGCGUGAGUGAAGAAGGUUUUCGGAUCGUAAAACUCUGUUGUUAGAGAAGAACAAGGAUGAGAGUAACUGUUCAUCCCUUGACGGUAUCUAACCAGAAAGCCACGGCUAACUACGUGCC
rnacentral:rRNA from 1 species